GUUAGGAAUAUUGGACAAUGGGCGAAAGCCUGAUCCAGCCAUACCGCGUGGGUGAAGAAGGCCUUCGGGUUGUAAAGCCCUUUUGUUGGGAAAGAAAUCCUGUCGGUUAAUACCUGGCGGGGAUGACGGUACCCAAAGAAUAAGCACCGGCUAACUUCGUGCCAGCAGCCGCGGUAAUACGAAGGGUGCAAGCGUUACUCGGAAUUACUGGGCGUAAAGCGUGCGUAGGUGGUGGUUUAAGUCCGUUGUGAAAGCCCUGGGCUCAACCUGGGAAUUGCAGUGGAUACUGGAUCACUAGAGUGUGGUAGAGGGAUGCGGAAUUUCUGGUGUAGCAGUGAAAUGCGUAGAGAUCAGAAGGAACAUCCGUGGCGAAGGCGGCAUCCUGGGCCAACACUGACACUGAGGCACGAAAGCGUGGGGAGCAAACAGGAUUAGAUACCCGAGUAGUCC
rnacentral:rRNA from 1 species